rnacentral:rRNA from 1 species
UACGGAGGGUGCGAGCGUUGUCCGGAAUCACUGGGCGUAAAGCGUGCGCAGGCGGUUCGUUGUGUCGGCGGUGAAAGCCCCGGGCUUAACCUGGGAAUGGCCGUUGAAACUGGCGAACUGGAGUGUGGCAGAGGGGGGUGGAAUUCCGCGUGUAGCAGUGAAAUGCGUAGAGAUGCGGAGGAACACCGAUGGCGAAGGCAGCCCCCUGGGCUAACACUGACGCUCAGGCACGAAAGCGUGGGGAGCAAACAGG